AAGUACCCUUAGGAUGAGAAAUCAAUUGAGAUUCCCGUAGUAGUGGCGAGCGAAGUGGGAAGAGCCUGGUAUGAUUUAGCUGUAAUUAUAUUAGAACAAGUUGGGAAGCUUGACGAUAGAGGGUGAUAGUCCCGUAUACGAAAUAAUCACAGUGGAAAUAAGCAUACGAACAAGUAGGACGUGGCACGUGGAACCUUGUCUGAAUAUGGGGUGACCAUCCUCCAAGUCUAAAUAC
rnacentral:rRNA from 1 species